rnacentral:rRNA from 1 species
GAAGCUGGAAUCGCUAGUAAUCGCAGAUCNGAAUGCUGCGGUGAAUACGUUCCCGGGUCUUGUACACACCGCCCGUCACACCAUGGGAGUUGGAAAUGCCCGAAGCCAGUGACCCAACCGUAAGGAGGGAGCUGUCGAAGGUGGAGCCGAUGACUGGGGUGAAGUCGUAACAAGGUAAC